AAACUGUAUUGCCAACCGACAAUGAGCCCUGAUGGAAAACUUGAGUUUCUAAUGACACUCUUCGAGGAGGUCUAUUAUUUUUCAUUCUUGCAAUUGGUUCACGCGCUUUAAUUUUAUACCACCCACGUUGUCGUUUUGCGAUAGGACUUCUUAUUUCAAUCUGAGGAAUAACAAAUUCUGUUGGUUUUUUCGUGGGUGAACUUUCUAUAGCAUCUCUUGAUCGUUUUCCUGGUCUUUGAGACAAGGAUGACGCAAAAUUUGACAAGAAAUCAAAGGUAUCUGAAGUAGAGGAUGUUGGGCUGUCUUCAUUUUUAGAGAUUUCACUUGGAACAGUCUUGGAGGAAGCCAUAGCUGCAAUGAAUCAUAGGCGUGCUAGUAUUUCUAUGAAAUUCUGGUGGAGAAGUCAGUGGACCACAAUUAUUAUUAAACAAAGGUGAUUCUUCUGAAGUUGAAGGUGGUGUCCCCAGUAUAGAUUUCUGCUCUCCAGAUAUUAGCGAAUGAUGACGUUGAGAUUUCCACCAUUUGCAAGGACCUUUAGAAAAUAUUACGUAUAGAAUCAAUGGAUGAAUAAAGCGUUAACGACUCAUGACAUACAGAAUUAUUCAUGUUCAUUCAUCAAUGUUCAUAUAGAAUUAUUACUUGCACUCGAAAUCGUUCCGCAUUCUUAAAGGAUCAUAUACAUAGCAUACAUUUUUAUUGGAGAUAAAUAAAUGUUCAGGCAUCGUGUCAUCAUAAAUCUAUAUGGAUUCUUAGAAUUAAAUCAUUCUCUCAUUUAUUGUCGAUAUUCUAAAUCUUUAAAUACUCGAUAUCUUUCUCUCGAUUA